rnacentral:rRNA from 1 species
AAACGUAGGUGGCGAGCGUUAUCCGGAUUUACUGGGCGUAAAGGGUGUGCAGGCGGGCUGUUAAGUGGUGCAUGAAAAUCUCCGCGCUUAACGUGGAGAGGCUGUGCCAGACUGCAGGUCUAGAGUACGAGAGAGGGGUUGUGGAAUUCGGGUGUAGUGGUGAAAUGCGUAGAUAUCGGGAGGAACACAGUGGCGAAGGCGACUACCUGGCCUGUUCUUACGCUGAGGCGGCGAAAGCUAGGGGGAGCAAAACGGG